GACAGCAAUCACUUUUCGGCGGUGUAGGUGGACCCUGCUGGCCAAUAGUGGCUCCAGGUGAGAGCAGCGGGCCACAGAGUGGCGUCAGCGUCCGCGCGAACCUAACAACCGUGGAGACGAUGGAGAGCAAGCAAAGCCAGGUGCUGAACCUUGUGCGGGUGCAGGAGCUGGAAACCUGGCUGAAAUCAACCAAUACAAAGCUGACUCAAGUUAACGGCCAGAGGAAGUAUGGAGGACCACCUGAGGGACGUAACAUGAUGCAUUCUUGGUUGUUUUGCUACUCUACACUUUGCGACAACGUUAG